GAUGAAGAACGCAGCGAAAUGCGAUAAGUAAUGUGAAUUGCAGAAUUCAGUGAAUCAUCGAAUCUUUGAACGCACAUUGCGCCCGCUGGUAUUCCGGCGGGCAUGCCUGUUCGAGCGUCAUUUCAACCCUCAAGCUCUCCGGAGUUUGGUGUUGGGGCGCCUGGGGCUUUUCGACCUCAGGGCCCUCAAGUCCAUCGGCGGGACCGCCAGGACACUGAGCGCAGUAGUAUUAUUUCGCUCGGUAGGAUCUUCCACGGCGGGUCGAUCUGGCCGCUAAACCCCCCAAUUCUCACCAAAGGUUGACCUCGGAUCAGGUAGGAAUACACGCUGAACUUAAGCAUAUCAAUAAGCGGAGGA
rnacentral:misc_RNA from 1 species